UGUGGGCGGGGAUGACCUUUGACAAAAUGUUUGGAAAGUGCUUGUCCGUGCUGCGCUCUCUGUCCGGUUUUGUGGUGAAAUUAAACGAAUUGUGCACGAAGAAAGUGAGGAUUUGGUCCUCUUAAAUGGAGCUAAAGCAGCAGGGAAACACCUCCUGUUCUGUUCUAUAGAUGUUCUGACAGACCAAACCAAGAUAUAAAUAUGGUCGCUGACAGACUUCCAUUGACAUCUUGCUGAGAGACUGUUUCCUGGGAGGAAAGGCCAAAGUCAUCAAUGAAGAGUUUACUGUCACUGAGCUGACAGAUUGGUUGGAUUACAUCAUCUCCAUUAUCAACUCCAAACCACGCCACGUGCACCUUGAUGGAGGAUCACAGCGUCACGCCAUCAGAGAGAACCACUGAAGAGCAAGAGAUGGGAGAUUCCAGUGUCGACGUAACAGCAACUGACAUUGCAAGAACCAGUGAAGAUCAAGAGAUGGGAGCUUGUACCAGUGUCGGCAUGACGGCAACCGUGUGGAUUUUGUUUCUGUCUCUUCGUUGGUGGCUGAAUCAACGGGACCGUUGAUGUCUUGGUGGUGGAGAGGAGAGACACAGGCCUUCAAGGCUAGAUUUUUAUAUUGGGCUACUGAUGGA